rnacentral:lncRNA from 1 species
UAUUCUUUUCGUAACAGUGCCCAAAGCCUCUUAGAACUAACAUCAAAGUUACCUUUCUUCCAGACUCCAACUAAAAAUACGCAUAUGACGCCGAUUUCUUUUGUCGAAAGCCAAUGGCUUUAUAAGAUUCUUUAACUUUUCUUGUGAACCACACCAGCAAACUUAUUUAUGCAUUCAUUUGGGCAAUAUAGUAGAUAUAACAUCUUGAUCAGUUCCACA